AUCAACUUUCGAUGGUAGGAUAGAGGCCUACCAUGGUGGUAACGGGUAACGGGGUGUUAGGGCACGACACCGGAGAGGGAGCCUGAGAAACGGCUACCACAUCCAAGGAUGGCAGCAGGCGCGCAAAUUACCCAAUCCCGACACGGGGAGGUAGUGACAAUAAAUAACAAUACGGGGUUCUUUCGGAUUUCGUAAUUGGAAUGAGUACAAUUUAAAUCUCUUAACGAGGAACAAUUGGAGGGCAAGUCUGGUGCCAGCAGCCGCGGUAAUUCCAGCUCCAAUAGCGUAUAUUAAAGUUGUUGCAGUUAAAAAGCUCGUAGUUGAAUUUCGGGGUCAGUAGAUUGGUCGUGCCACUGGUAUGCACUGGUCUCACUGGCUCCUCCUUCCUGAUGAACCGUAAUGCCAUUAAUUUGGUGUUGCGGGGAGACUGGACUGUUACUUUGAAAAAAUUAGAGUGUUUAAAGCAGGCUAACGCUUGAAUACAUUAGCAUGGAAUAAUGAAAUAGGACGUUCGAUCUUAUUUUGUUGGUUUCUAAGAUUGACGUAAUGAUUAAUAGGGAUAGUUGGGGGCAUUAGUAUUCAAUUGUCAGAGGUGAAAUUCUUGGAUUUAUUGAAGACUAACUACUGCGAAAGCAUUUGCCAAGGAUGUUUUCAUUAAUCAAGAACGAAAGUUAGGGGAUCGAAGACGAUCAGAUACCGUCGUAGUCUUAACCAUAAACUAUGCCGACUAGGGAUCGGAUGAUGUUAAUUUUUUAAUGACUCAUUCGGCGCCUUACGGGAAACCAAAGUGUUUGGGUUC
rnacentral:rRNA from 1 species